AGACCCGAAACCCGGUGAUCUAGCCAUGGGCAGGUUGAAGGUUGGGUAACACUAACUGGAGGACCGAACCGACUAAUGUUGAAAAAUUAGCGGAUGACCUGUGGCUGGGGGUGAAAGGCCAAUCAAACCGGGAGAUAGCUGGUUCUCCCCGAAAGCUAUUUAGGUAGCGCCUCGUGAAUUCAUCUCCGGGGGUAGAGCACUGUUUCGGCUAGGGGGCCAUCCCGGCUUACCAACCCGAUGCAAACUGCGAAUACCGGAGAAUGUUAUCACGGGAGACACACGGCGGGUGCUAACGUCCGUCGUGAAGAGGGAAACAACCCAGACCGCCAGCUAAGGUCCCAAAGUCAUGGUUAAGUGGGAAACGAUGUGGGAAGGCCCAGACAGCCAGGAUGUUGGCUUAGAAGCAGCCAUCAUUUAAAGAAAGCGUAAUAGCUCACUGGUCGAGUCGGCCUGCGCGGAAGAUGUAACGGGGCUAAACCAUGCACCGAAGCUGCGGCAGCGAACGUAUCACUUAAAGCGAUUCAGCGGGUUACGAUUGACGGAGCGAAGCGACGUCAAAGCGUAUACAAAGUCGAGUCGGUUUAAGGAUACGUUCGUUGGGUAGGGGAGCGUUCUGUAAGCCUGUGAAGGUGGCCUGUGAGGGUUGCUGGAGGUAUCAGAAGUGCGAAUGCUGACAUAAGUAACGAUAAAGCGGGU
rnacentral:rRNA from 1 species